rnacentral:rRNA from 1 species
CGGACGGGUGAGUAAUGUAUAGGAACUUGCCUAAUAGUGGGGGACAACGUGUGGAAACGCACGCUAAUACCGCAUACGCUCUACGGAGGAAAGCGGGGGAUCUUCGGACCUUGUGCUAUUAGAUAGGCCUAUAUUGGAUUAGCUAGUUGGUAAGGUAAGAGCUUACCAAGGCGACGAUCCAUAGCUGGUUUGAGAGAAUGAUCAGCCACACUGGGACUGAGACACGGCCCAG